CUAGCAACUCCUCCUCCUCCCCCCCUCCUCUUCCUGUCUUGACCGGAAAACCCGCCUCCUCAUUUUAGCCCAGCAGUUGGCUAUUUGUCAUCUUUCUUAGCCAAUCAGAUAAUUAAGGGAAGUUCCUCUACUGAUGGGUAUUACAAAGGCUCCACAAAAAUGAGGGAAACUUUCUACCCCUGAGCCACCUCUGUAAGCCUAAUCUAUUUUGGGAAGGGUUAAGAUUAUUUAGGAAGGUCCAGUAGACUCUUUUCUGUGGUAAGAGAAAACCAGAAGCUACUGCGGGCUCGCUCAGCAAAGCUGGUUUGAGUCUCAGUUUCUGGACAGUCACCUCUACUCGAGGCUUCAUAAAGUUGAAUGCAGAGUCUCACAGAUUGGCAGCAGCUCUGCUUCAUUUGAUGAACGUGGAAUAUGGCCUCUCUGCUGCUGUUUUUGACCAUGUGAUGGAUGACCUCAAAUUAAGCAUGCACAGGAGUUAACAACGCUCCCCAAGCAUGGAGCAGUCUUUCCUAUCAGAGUAGAGCCAAGGCAUGGAUGCACUCACAGAUCUGCUUACUUGUGCCUCACAACUUCAUCACGGACAGUUUCACAGUCUUUUCCAUCCACACCAGUCUAGUAGUAGAACUUUCCAAGCUGUAGACCUGUGAGACCAUCUUUGCAGCUUCUAGCUCUCUUCUUAAUAUCUGCAACAAAGUCAAUAAAUACUGGCUCCUUUCCAGCCAACGUUUCUUACAGCAUUCAACUCAUUUCUCUUGCCCAUAUGUACUACUGUGAGGCAUAGCACCCAGUUCAGUUCAGUAUACCUUAUAUCAGCAG
ensembl:lncRNA